GACGAACGCUGGCGGCGUGCCUAAUACAUGCAAGUCGAACGCAGUGGGGACGGGUGAGUAACACGUGGGUAACCUCCCAUCAGAGGGGAUAACACUUGGAAACAGGUGCUAAACCGAUACUGAUGGAUGGACUCGCGGUGUAUUAGCUAGUUGGUGGGGUAACGGCUCACCAAGGCCACGAUGCAUAGCCGACCUGAGAGGAUGAUCAGCAACACUGGAAGUGAGACACGGCCCAGACUCCUACGGGAGGCAGCAGUAGGGAAUCUUCAACAAUGGACGAAAGUCUGACGAAGCAACGCCGCGUGAGUGAAGAAGGUUUUCGGGUCGUAAAGCACUGUUGUUAGAGAAGCGGUAUCUAACCAGAAAGCCACGGCGAACUACGUGCCAGCAGCCGCGGUAAUAC
rnacentral:rRNA from 1 species